rnacentral:rRNA from 1 species
CCUACGGGGGGCUGCAGUAGGGAAUCUUCCACAAUGGGCGAAAGCCUGAUGGAGCAACGCCGCGUGGGUGAAGAAGGUCUUCGGAUCGUAAAACCCUGUUGUUAGAGAAGAAAGUGCGUGAGAGUAACUGUUCACGUUUCGACGGUAUCUAACCAGAAAGCCACGGCUAACUACGUGCCAGCAGCCGCGGUAAUACGUAGGUGGCAAGCGUUAUCCGGAUUUAUUGGGCGUAAAGGGAACGCAGGCGGUCUUUUAAGUCUGAUGUGAAAGCCUUCGGCUUAACCGGAGUAGUGCAUUGGAAACUGGGAGACUGGAGUGCAGAAGAGGAGAGUAGAACUCCAUGUGUAGCGGUGAAAUGCGUAGAUAUAUGGAAGAACACCAGUGGCGAAAGCGGCUCUCUGGUCUGUAACUGACGCUGAGGUUCGAAAGCGUGGGUAGCAAACAGGAUUAGAUACCCCAGUAGUC